rnacentral:rRNA from 1 species
GCGGCGCACAUAAGACAUGCAAGUCGAACGGACUUAACCAUUAGUUUACUAUUGGAGCGGUUAGUGGCGGACUGGUGAGUAACACGUAAGCAACCUGCCUAUCAGAGGGGAACAACAGUUAGAAAUGACUGCUAAUACCGCAUAUGCCUUAAUUACCACAUGGUAAUAGAGGGAAAGGAGCAAUCCGCUGAUAGAUGGGCUUGCGUCUGAUUAGAUAGUUGGUAAGGUAACGGCUUACCAAGUCGACGAUCAGUAGCCGGACUGAGAGGUUGAACGGCCACAUUGGGACUGAGAUACGGCCCAGACUCCUACGGGAGGCAGCAGUCGGGAAUAUUGCGCAAUGGAGGAAACUCUGACGCAGUGACGCCGCGUGCAGGAAGAAGGUUUUCGGAUUGUAAACUGCUUUAGACAGGGAAGAAACAAGACAGUACCUGUAGAAUAAGCUCCGGCUAACUACGUGCCAGCAGCCGCGGUAAUACGUAGGGAGCAAGCGUUAUCCGGAUUUAUUGGGUGUAAAGGGUGCGUAGACGGGAAUGCAAGUUGGUUGUGAAAUCCCUCGGCUCAACCGAGGAAUUGCAACCAAAACUAUAUUUCUUGAGUGCUGGAGAGGAAAGUGGAAUUCCUAGUGUAGCGGUGAAAUGCGUAGAUAUUAGGAGGAACACCAGUGGCGAAGGCGACUUUCUGGACAGUAACUGACGUUGAGGCACGAAAGUGUGGGGAGCAAACAGGAUUAGAUACCCUGGUAGUCCACACCGUAAACGAUGGAUACUAGGUGUAGGGGAUGAAUAAUCUUCUGUGCCGUCGCAAACGCAGUAAGUAUCCCACCUGGGGAGUACGGCCGCAAGGUUGAAACUCAAAGGAAUUGACGGGGGCCCGCACAAGCAGUGGAGUAUGUGGUUUAAUUCGACGCAACGCGAAGAACCUUACCGGGGCUUGACAUAUACAUGAAAAUGUAAGAGAUUAGAUCCCUCUUCGGAGCAUGUAUACAGGUGGUGCAUGGUUGUCGUCUGCUCGUGUCGUGAGAUGUUGGGUUAAGUCCCGCAACGAGCGCAACCCCUGUUCUUAGUUGCCAGCAUGUAAAGAUGGGAACUCUAAGAAGACUGCCGGUGAUAAAUCGGAGGAAGGUGGGGACGACGUCAAAUCAUCAUGCCCUUUAUGUCCUGGGCUACACACGUACUACAAUGGCUGUAACAAAGGGAAGCGAACCCGCGAGGGGAAGCAAAACCCAUAAAAGCAGUCUCAGUUCGGAUUGAAGGCUGAAAUUCGCCUUCAUGAAGCCGGAAUUGCUAGUAAUGGCAGGUCAGCAUACUGCCGUGAAUACGUUCCCGGGCCUUGUACACACCGCCCGUCACACCAUGAGAGUUGGGGAUACCCGAAGCCUGUGAGCUAACUGUAAAGAGGCAGCAGUCGAAGGUAGAAUCAAUGAU